rnacentral:rRNA from 1 species
AUCCAAGCUACUAAGGGUCCACGGUGGAUGCCUUGGCGUUAGGAGCCGAUGAAGGACGUGGCAGGCUGCGAUAAGCCUCGGGAAGCUGUCAAGCAAGCGUAGAUCCGAGGAUGUCCGAAUGGGGAAACCCGGCUGGGGUAAUGCCCAGUCACUCCGGUCUGAAUAUAUAGGGCCGGUAGAGGGAACUAGGGGAAUUGAAACAUCUCAGUACCCUGUAGGAAAAGAAAGCAAAAGCGACUCCCUGAGUAGUGGUGAGCGAAACGGGAAAAGCCUAAACCAGUGCGGUGUCAAAGCCCGACGGCGUUGCCGUACUGGUGUUGUGGGAGCCAUUUGAUGACUCGUCGGAGUUAUCAAGGAGUUACAAAAUCUGGUGAUAGUCGAACCAGGCUGGAAAGCCUGGCCGCAGAAGGUAAGAGCCCUGUAGACGAAAUCGCACAGAUCUCCUUAUGGAAUUCCCAAGUAUCACGGGGGAUAUCCCGUGUGAAUCUGCGAGGACCACCUCGUAAGGCUAAGUACUUCCUAACGACCGAUAGCGGACAAGUACCGUGAGGGAAAGGUGAAAAGCACCCCGGUGAGGGGAGUGAAAUAGAACCUGAAACCGUGGACUUACAAGCAGUGGGAGGGAUCUUCGGAUCCUGACCGCCUGCCUUUUGAAGAAUGAGCCGGCGAGUUAUUGGUGUGUGGCAAGGUUAAGACGUAUGUCGAAGCCGAAGCGAAAGCGAGUCUGAAUAGGGCGUACAGUCGCAUGCUAUAGACCCGAAGCCGAGUGAUCUAUCCAUGGGCAGGGUGAAGCGAGGGUAAGACCUCGUGGAGGCCCGAACCCACCUAGGUUGAAAACUGGGGGGAUGACCUGUGGAUAGGGGUGAAAGGCCAAACAAACUCGGUGAUAGCUGGUUCUCCCCGAAAUAGCUUUAGGGCUAGCGUCACGCGUUCCGCAUUGGGGGUAGAGCACUGAUUGGGCAAGGGGGCCGACAAGCUUACUGACCCCAGUCAAACUCCGAAUCUCAAUGCGCUAGAGCGUGGCAGUCAGACUGUGGGGGAUAAGCUCCAUGGUCGAAAGGGAAACAGCCCAGACCGCCAGCUAAGGCCCCUAAGUGUGUACUAAGUGGGAAACGAUGUGAAGUCGCCCAAACAGCCAGGAGGUUGGCUUAGAAGCAGCCACCCUUUAAAGAGUGCGUAACAGCUCACUGGUCGAGUGAUUUCGCGCGGAAAAUGUAACGGGGCUCAAGUACACCGCCGAAGCUGCGGAUUUCCGUCAAUAGCUCGGCCCAUUUCCUUCGGGAACUGGGUCUAGGCGACGGGAGUGGUAGGGGAGCGUCGAGCAGCCCAUGAAGCGGCGGCGGAAGCCAGCCGUGGAGGCUGUUCGAGUGCGAAUGCCGGCAUGAGUAGCGAAAGAGGAGUGAGAAUCUCCUCCGCCGAAUGUCCAAGGGUUCCUGGGGAAGGCUCGUCCGCCCAGGGUUAGUCGGGACCUAAGGCGAGGCCGAAAGGCGUAGUCGAUGGACAACUGGUUGAUAUUCCAGUACCACCAUAUGCGCGUUCAGGCUGAACCCAGUUUGCUAAGGAAAGCCCUUCGGGGCCUACCGACCCAACUGGUAUUAGGCCAGCAAUGGAGUGACGCGGACAGGUAAGCAGACCCGGGCGUUGGUUGACCCGGGGUAAGCGUGUAGGACGAGGGCUAGGUAAAUCCGGACCUCAUUAAGUCUGAGGCGCGAUGCCGACCCGUUUUAGGGGAAGCUGCCGAUCCUAUGCCGCCUAGAAAACCUUCUAGCGAGUUCGUAUGGUGCCCGUACCCCAAACCGACACAGGUGGACAAGUAGAGAAUACUAAGGCGAUCGAGAUAACUCUGGUUAAGGAACUCGGCAAAUUGGUCCCGUAACUUCGGGAGAAGGGACGCCCCGGUAAAGUCCAAGACUUCGCGUCUGAAGGCUUGAGGGGGCCGCAGUGACCUGGCCCAAACGACUGUUUACUAAAAACACAGCAGCGUGCUAAGUCGCAAGACGAUGUAUACGCUGUGACGCCUGCCCGGUGCCGGAAGGUUAAGGGGAUGGGUUAGCUUCGGCGAAGCUCUGAACUUAAGCCCCGGUAAACGGCGGCCGUAACUAUAACGGUCCUAAGGUAGACGCACUCUUAGUGCAGAGUGCCUGCCCCCCGCGACAGCGAUGUUGCGGUGCGCAGCUGGCUAUAUGCUGGAAACCCCGUGUAUCUGACGGUACUCGUUUGUGUCACAACCAUCUGAGAUGGUGGGGGCAUGAGCAGUGAAAACCCGUUCAGUGCGGACAAUCAGCAGGAAAGGCCAGGAAUUGAGCAGUGGGUUGUCGGGUUCACCGACGGCGAAGGCUGCUUCUCGAUAUCGGUGGUACGAAAUCGAGGCUGUCGACUCGGUUGGCAAGUCCAACAUGAGUUUUCAGUCACACAACUCGCACCAUCACGGUCAGCUCUGGAGUUCCUUCGGGAGUACUUCGGAUGCGGAUCGAUCAUCGAGAACCGCCGGAACGACAAUCACCGGCACGAUCUGGCACGUUUCUCUGUGAAACGACGCUCAGAUCUUGUUGAUACGGUUGUUCCGUUCUUUGAACAACAUCCACUGAUUACCGCCAAGCAACACGACUUCGGGUUGUUCGCCAACGUCAUCGAAAUGAUGACUGCCGGCCGACAUCUGACUGAAGAAGGGUUGCGGUUGAUAGCGAUGACUACGGAACGUAUGAAUCGCCAGCAACGGUCUCAGUUUCUGGAAUCCUCAGAGGCCAUACGCCAGCCAACUCACGUCCGAUAGUGAGCUGAAGAUAUGGUCCGAGCCCUAUGGCGACAUAGGGAGCAACUCGAGCGAAAUUCCUUGUCGGGUAAGUUCCGACCUGCACGAAUGGCGUAACGAUUUGGGCACUGUCUCAACCAGAGACUCGGCGAAAUUGCAAUGUGAGUAAAGAUGCUCACUACCUGCGACAGGACGGAAAGACCCCGGAACCUUUACUGCAGCUUGGCAUUGGAGUCUGGUAUACGAUGUGUAGGAUAGGUGGGAGACUGUGAAGCAGCGGCGCUAGUUGUUGUGGAGUCAACCUUGGAAUACCACCCUUCGUAUAUAAGGCUUCUAACCUCGAUCCGUUAUCCGGAUCAGGGACAGUGCCUGGCGGGCAGUUUCACUGGGGCGGUGGCCUCCUAAAGAGUAACGGAGGCGCCCAAAGGUCCCCUCAGUCUGGUCGGCAAUCAGACGGCGAGUGCAAGGGCACAAGGGGGCUUGACUGCGAGACCUACAAGUCGAGCAGGGACGAAAGUCGGGCCUAGUGAUCCUACCGUGGCGUGUGGAAGCGCGGUAGCUCAACGGCUAAAAGGUACUCCGGGGAUAACAGGCUUAUACCCCCCAAGAGUCCAUAUCGACGGGGGUGUUUGGCACCUCGAUGUCGGCUCGUCGCAUCCUGGGGCCGGAGCAGGUCCCAAGGGUCGGGCUGUUCGCCCGUUAAAGCGGCACGCGAGCUGGGUUUAGAACGUCGUGAGACAGUUCGGUCCCUAUCCGUCGCAGGCGCAGGAGAUUUGAGAGGAGCUGUCCCUAGUACGAGAGGACCGGGAUGGACGAACCUCUGGUGUGCCAGUUGUUCUGCCAAGAGCACGGCUGGUUAGCUACGUUCGGACGGGAUAAGCGCUGAAAGCAUCUAAGUGCGAAGCCCACCUCGAGAUGAGAUCUCCCACCGGAUUAACCGGGUAAGGCCCCUGGUAGAUGACCAGGUAGAUAGGCCGGAAGUGGAAGCACAGUAAUGUGUGUAGCUGACCGGUACUAAUCGGCCGAGGGCUUGGAUUU